GGUAGGAUCUGGCCCCGCUGCCAUUCACCCGCGGUCCCGUGGCGCAGGGGUGUUCGGCCUGCGACUCCGCUCUCCUCGUGGAAGUUCGGGCCGUUCGGCGUGCGGGCUGCUGACGGCCCGUCAAGGUGCUGAGGGCCAUAAACUCCAAUCUGCUGUGCAGGGUCAUCCUCCUGAGAGACCUGGACCCCAUUGUGACCAGAUUUGCAGCCCUGGGCUUCCCCAAUGGCAGAGGGGCCUUAAACGGAACCCAUAUUCCCAUCCAUGCACCACAUCAAACCACCCAAUACAUCAACCACAAGGGCUUCAGGCCCCGGUCGCAAUUUGUGUAUCUUUUCCCAACUUUUCUUUGUCAUGUAGAUAAAGCCAUGAGUCACAAUUCUGAGAGGAGAUGAUGUAGUUUCUAAAGUCCCUCAAGAUGGAUGAAAUAUUCUCCUCUUUUCUGUCUGUGAUCUCUUUUCGGUGUGCAUCAAAUCCAAAUAACAAUAGAACAGUAGGUGCCCUACAGAAGUUAUAGGUAGCUUUGGGAUGUGGAAAGGGUUUGGGUUGAUUAACCUUUGCCAUCAUUUAUAUUAUCAUUUUACAGUAUCUCCAGCUAAGCUGACUUUCAGUUACUGCACCACCAUACACCGUCAUUGGGAAACUGCUUAGUGUCUAAGCUGUUUCAAUGGCUUUGAAGUUCUGCCUUCGGUUGCAUGCAGUAUGCACUCAGCAAAAGCAGAAGGUAUCACAGCACAGAGAGGUCCUUUAAGAAUCUAAAGCUAGAGGUGUAAUAUGAUGGGAAGUAACAGUUCCUCACACUGAAUUUAGACUGGAAAUGGGCUCGAGCCACAAAAUGACUUUUGUGCUAGCUCAGAUCACCCUCAAAUACUGAUUGGCUGUGUCUUCCGGAAAGGGGCUUAUUUUCCACAAGAUCCCGUCUAGACUGGCGCUUUUCUCCGGCAAAACCCCGAGCCAUAAAAAAGUGGCAGCCAUGUUCAUCCCCCGCGGCAUUUGUUUAAAUCCCCCGCGGCAUUUGCAAUUCCAAAGUGUCUCAUUAGCAUCCCUUUUCCGGAAAAGGGUGCCAAAGUAGACACAGCCUUAAUGUAUUGCCCCUAAUGACUACACAUUUUUCCUGCUGGGUAAUGUUAGCCAGCUGUAACUAUUCACUUUGUCUUAGGAAAGUAUCCAUCGUAUCCAUCUUCAUUGUGUAUGUGUCUUUUCUAUUCUCUGAUCAGCAGCCUGUGCAUUGUACAAAUUACUGUGAAUGCUCCCCUAUCACCCAGGCAACUCUCAUUUCUGAGACUCCUUUUCCUAAUGAGCUGGGAUGCCACCAUAAUAAACGGGAUAGAGAAGGACAACCAGACUCUCCCUUUCACUCUAAUCCCCUACCUGGAAGUCAAGGACAAGAGGACACUCGAUCCAUUUAAAAACUUGCAACUGAUUAAACGAAAUACUUAUGUAAACAACUUUUAAAUUUACCUUUGGAACUCACUGUGAUAAGAUUUUGAGGCAAAUAGUUUAAAAUUUAGAAAAGUAUUUGACACACAUGGUAAGAAUAGAAUCUGUAAAAAUAAUAAGAUAAAAAUCACUCCUCUUGCACCCACUGAAUUGACUCAGAGAAAUUCAUCCCACUCCCACAGAAUAGUAUUGCACAAUUGUUCAGGUGCCUUAUGAAGGGAUCUUGCCUUUCUCUGAAGCAUCUGGUUUGGUCUGCUAUUGAAGACAAAAUAUUGGCAUAUAUGACCUACUGACUUGUUGCAGUGCGAUGGCAUUUAUAAAUGUGACUUUAUGGCUUCCUGUCUUACUGUGGCAACAACUCAAAGUUUCAGGCAGCUUAGCCACUUUGUUCUGCAGUCAAUAAGAGGCUGCAGAUGACUAGCUGAAUAAGUGUCUGGUGGGAAAAUAGAGGCAUGUGCCCAAAUAAUUUCAGUACUGGAGGCCUGGGAUUGCUCAACUACCUUUAAAUCUCUUUGACUUAACACUCUAUUGUUCCUCUAACACUGAUAGUGAAUUAGGAAGGCCAGCUAUUCCAGUAAGAUUUAAUGCUGCUCAGCUAGUGAACUAAUGAAUACCUAUUUUAAACAAAUAUUUAUGGUUUAUAAACCAGACAGAUUUUUCUAGCAGAAAAAUAGCAGUGACUCCAUCUGUCAUAGUACUCGAGUCAGAAGCACUGUGACAUAUAGGUCAGAAGUACUUUUUCUGAUUUAUUACUCUCCCAAGUAAUUGCUUUCUAUAUCGAAAUGUCUGUAGGGAAUAGUCAACAUGUUUUCUUAACUAAACAUACGUUUUUCAUUUCAGUCUUGGAAAGCUUUCAUUAGAGUAUGUACAUUUUUGAGGUAAGAGCAACUCAGUGAAAGCAAACUCAGAAAAGAGUUUAGAGGGCAGUUUGGGCAGCCUACAGGGUAGCAUUAAGAUCCACUGUGAUAAUUAGGAGGACCAACAUUCAGGCUAUGUCUACACUAUUGGCUUUUUGUGCAAGAAGCUGUUUGAGGAAGAGAUCUUCCGCAAAAAGGUUCUUGCACAAAAGCACGUUCACACCUCAAAAGCGCAUCGCAAAAACAAUGUGCUUUUGCGCAAGAGAGCGUCCACAUUAUUGAACGCUCUCUCACAUAUAAAGUCCCCUGGAACCGGAUCUAACCAGGCUUUACAUCACCAGGUGCUCUUGAGUGCUGUUGCCGGAGCUCUGCAGAGAUUCACACUUAAAGGGACCCCCCUGGACAGCUGCUUCUCUGUUUCUGCUGCCUGCUUGCAGACCUGUCUUGAGGGACAGCAGAGCUUCAGCAGUGCCUGUUGUAGUUGCCCUGUACUUUUUGGGAACACCCUGUACUUUUUGGGAACGCCUGCAGCACUUGCUUCCAGCAGCCUAUUUUUCCUGCUGGACAUGGACACCGAACUUCUCCUUGUCACCCUCUGCGUGGCUGCGGCUGCUCCAGUCUGAAGGUUCUGGAGGAUAGAGACCAGUUCAGACUGUUGGGACCAGCUGGUCAUGGAGCAGUGGGAUGACCAGCAAUGACUGCACAACUUUCGGAUGCACAAGGUCACCUUCCUUGAGCAAUCUGCCUGGCUUGCUCCCACCCUCCAGAGACGCGACACCCACCUGCAGCCCACCAUCCCCCUUCAGAAGCACGUUGCACUUGCCCUCUGGAAGCUGGCCACCCCAGACAGCUACCACUCCGUGGUCAAUUGGUUCAGGGUGGGGAAGUCCACCGUCAGAGCCCUGCUUAUAAAAGUCAUCCGGGCCAUCAAAUCCCUGCUGCUGAGCAAUACCUGGAGACAACCAUGGGCAGAUCUGCUGUCCUGGGAUUCCCCAUCUGCGGGGGAGCCAUCAACAGCACUCCUAUCCACAUCCGGGCCCCGGACCAUCAAGUGGCCCAGUUUAUAAACAGAAAGGACUACUUCUCUGUAGUCCUGCAGGCUCUGGUGGAGCAUUGGGGCCACUUUACAGACAUUUAUGUGGGGUGGUCGGGCAGGGCACAUGAUGUCCACAUUUUCCAGAAUUCCAGCCUAUGCACUAAGCAGGCACCUUUUCCCCCCACCGGGACUUUGCAGUGGGUGAGCACAACAUGCUAGUGUUCAUAGUGGAGGACGCAGCAUACCCACUCAUGACCUGGCUGAUGAAACCCUACACCAGCCUCCUGGAUCCCAUCAAGGACCUUUUAAAUGCCCACCUCAACUGAGCCCUGAUGCAGGUGGAGUGUGCCUUUGGGUGCCUCUAGGGACGCUUCCUCUGCCUCCUCACCAGCCUGAACAUCGAGGAGUGUAGUAUCCCGAAGGUGGUGACAGCGGCAUGCUGUGCGCUCCACGAUAUUGUGGAGCACAAUGAGGAGGCCUUCCUCCUGG